GCCUAUGGCGGAAUGGCAAUGCAUAAGAUUGCAAAUCUUAAUACCCUGGUUCGAUUCUAGGUUUCCGCCUCCA
rnacentral:tRNA from 1 species